rnacentral:rRNA from 1 species
UACGUAGGGUGCAAGCGUUGUCCGGAAUUAUUGGGCGUAAAGAGCUCGUAGGCGGUUUGUUGCGUCGGCUGUGAAAUCCCGAGGCUCAACCUCGGGUCUGCAGUCGAUACGAGCAAACUAGAGUGUUGCCGGGGAGACUGGAAUUCCUGGUGUAGCGGUGAAAUGCGCAGAUAUCAGGAGGAACACCGGUGGCGAAGGCGGGUCUCUGGGCAACAACUGACGCUGAGGAGCGAAAGCGUGGGGAGCGAACAGG